rnacentral:rRNA from 1 species
UCUCAAGGAAGAAGUUCUGACGGUACUUGAGGAAUCAGCAUCGGCUAACUCCGUGCCAGCAGCCGCGGUAAUACGGAGGAUGCAAGCGUUAUCCGGAAUGAUUGGGCGUAAAGCGUCCGCAGGUGGUUGUGUGAGUCUAUUGUCAAAGCAUCAGGCUUAACAUGGUAAAGGCGGUGGAAACUACACGCCUAGAGUGCGUUCGGGGCAGAGGGAAUUCCGGGUGAAGCGGUGAAAUGCGUAGAGAUCCGGAAGAACACCGGUGGCGAAAGCCCUCUGCUAGGCCGCCCCUGACACUGAGGGACGAAAGCUAGGGGACCGAAAGGGAUUAGAUACCC